GAACUGCGAUAAGUAAUGUGAAUUGCAGAAUUCAGUGAAUCAUCGAGUCUUUGAACGCACAUUGCGCCCCCUGGCAUUCCGGGGGGCAUGCCUGUCCGAGCGUCAUUGCUGCCCUUCAAGCCCGGCUUGUGUGUUGGGUCGUCGUCCCCCCCGGGGGACGGACCCGAAAGGCAGCGGCGGCACCGUGUCCGGUCCUCGAGCGUAUGGGGCUUUGUCACCCGCUCGAUUAGGACCGGCCGGGUGCCCGCCGGCGUCAAACCCCCAAUCUUUCUAAGGUUGACCUCGGAUCAGGUAGGGAUACCCGCUGAACUUAAGC
rnacentral:misc_RNA from 1 species